CAGGAUGAACGCUGGCGGCGUGCCUAAUACAUGCAAGUCGAGCGGGAACCUCUGGAUUCGUCUGGAGGGGAGAGCGGCGAACGGGUGAGUAACACGUAGGCGACCUGCCCCGAAGACGGGGAUAACCACUGGAAACGGCGGUUAAUACCCGAUGUGCUCGGUGAUUCGGUUCGCCGAGUAAAGCUCCGGCGCUUCGGGAUGGGCCUGCGGCCUAUCAGCUAGUUGGUAGGGUAAUGGCCUACCAAGGCGAAGACGGGUAGGGGGCGUGAGAGCGCGGUCCCCCACACUGGCACUGAGACACGGGCCAGACUCCUACGGGAGGCAGCAGUCGGGGAUAUUGCACAAUGGGCGAAAGCCAGAUGCAGCGACGCCGCGUGGGCGAAGAAGGCCUUCGGGUCGUAAAGCCCUUUUCUGGGGGAAGAGAAAGGACGGUACCCCAGGAAUAAGUCUCGGCUAACUACGUGCCAGCAGCCGCGGUAAAACGUAGGAGGCGAGCGUUAUCCGGAUUUACUGGGCGUAAAGCGCGUGCAGGCGGUUUCUUAAGUCGGACGUGAAAGCUCCUGGCUCAACUGGGAGAGGUCGUUCGAAACUAGGAAACUUGAGGAUGGUAGAGGAGAGUGGAAUUCCCGGUGUAGUGGUGAAAUGCGUAGAUAUCGGGAGGAACACCAGUGGCGAAGGCGGCUCUCUGGGCCACUCCUGACGCUAAGACGCGAAAGCUAGGGGAGAGAACGGGAUUAGAAACCCCGGUAUUCCUAGCCGUAAACGAUGUCAACUAGGUGUAGGGGGUAUCCAACCCCCCUGUGCUGUAGCUAACGCGUUAAGUUGACCGCCUGGGGACUACGGCCGCAAGGCUAAAACUCAAAGGAAUUGACGGGGACCCGCACAAGCAGCGGAGCGUGUGGUUUAAUUCGAGUCUACGCGAAGAACCUUACCAGGGUUUGACAUGUCGGUGGUAGGGAGGCGAAAGCUGACCGACCCUUCGGGGAGCCGUCACAGGUGCUGCAUGGCUGUCGUCAGCUCGUGCCGUGAGGUGUUAGGUUAAGUCCUGUAACGAGCGCAACCCUCGUCGCUAGUUACAUGUGUCUAACGAGACUGCCGGGAUAAGCCGGAGGAAGGUGAGGAUGACGUCAAGUCAGCAUGGCCUUUAUAUCCUGGGCUACACACACGCUACAAUGGCCGGUACAAUGGGUUGCCAACCGCGAGGUGGAGCCAAUCCUCCAAAGCCGGUCUCAGUUCGGAUUGUAGGCUGCAACUCGCCUGCAUGAAGUCGGAGUUGCUAGUAACCGCGCGUCAGC
rnacentral:rRNA from 1 species